ACAGUUGCCAUUGAAGCGAUGAAUCUGCAAGGGUAUCUAUAGCUGUGGCUCCAAAGCUAGCCUUUCUUUCUUUCCGCUUUUUUUUUGUAGCAGGUAUCUUUUCCAGCUGCACUGAUGCGUCGCCAAAUGUUUACCCUAGGCCCAUAGCUGUUGCACGCUCUCUUGUUGCUGCACUUAGCUAUGCAAUUUUCUGAGCCACCGCCUGUAGAGUGGUGCUCUCCCUCUCCCUCUCUCAAGCUCCGAUUCUGGCUGUGUGCUCCGUAGCCUCUCUCUCUGUUUGGCAUACAAAAUGCAUCUAAUUUUGGGCCUAACGACAACUUGUCGCUUGUCAUGGUCUCCCGGUCUGAUCUAUGUUGCUGUUGCAUUCGUUGUUGCUGUUGCUGUUGCUGCUGGUGGCAUGCCUCAUCAUCAUUUGCAACUGCUGGCGGCAGCAGCUGCCUCACUUGGGGAUCAACUGUUCAACUGUGCUUUAUCUGUACAGCUUUUAGCUGCGCCUCGUAAUCGCAGCUCAUAGAUCAAAAAGCGCCAGAGAACAACAGAAGAGCGAGACGUGUGGCUGCAUCUCUUUUCCUUAUGUGAACCAGGUCCAGUUCCCAUCAGGCACUCGAGAGGCAGUCCAGUCAGGCAGGGGUUGAUCACAUUCCAACGCACAGCUGCUGUCGUUCCAGCCAGUGCUGUGGCCAGUGCCCACCCACGCCAAUGGACAAAAAAAAAAAAUAGAAAACCAAACCGAGUUUGGGCCACGUUUUCCCACUGACCAAAUGACAGGAUUGCGGCCAUUCCCACAGUCCAUGCAACAUUUUCCAGCCAAUUCCGGCAAAUGCAAAUUAGCCAUCUCAUUUUCGCUCUGAUUAAAGGUAAUUUUCAAAUUUCCCCAACAACCCUCUGCGACACCGGGAACGGACAGCAACAACAGCAGGCCAGGCGGCAACUUUGGCACUGCCGGCAAUUUCGAUCUCGCCUGUCGUCCAUUUAAUGAUUUCAAAUCGGAGCAGCAGGCCCAGACCCAGACCCAGGCCCAGGCCCAAGACCAGAAACUUGUUGGAUGUCUGGUGGUGCACCAUGUUGCGCGACCGGACCGGACAAUGUCUAGGGGCCAUUCCUGUGUCUCUCUGGUUCCAGCUGUGGCCGCGGGAAAUAGGAAAAUUGCCGAAACUAAAACCAAAACGCGUGCGCAUUGAAUUAUGCAAAAAUUUUAACCAUUUGCCGCCAAUCAAUUUGUAUUGCCUACCAUCUGUGGGAUUUUCCCCGACAAACCAGCAUAAUAUUAAAACAAUGGAUGUGAUUGGUUGGCCCCUAAAUAUGCCAUUACAUAUCGGACAUCUUUAUCCUUAACUUACUUGGUAGCACUCCGCUUUGAGGUCAACUCGGGGUCGGGGUCGGGGUCGCUCAUUAAGCUAGACCCAGAGCCUGGUCCAACGUAUCAACUUACCCGAACAGGAAGCAUUCGAUGCGACGACCAUUUCCAGUUCCAGUUCCUAGGCCCCAUCACAGGCCAAUUGAUUGACAAGACGAGAGUCCACAGCAUUUGUCUGCAAGAAAAGAAUGGGGAAUGGUAAUUGACAUAAGUAUCAAUGAAUUCAGGCGAGGGUCGAUACAUUUCAAUGCUCUUUGGUUGAGACUGAUGUAACCCCAUCGAACGACCCUCGGUGGUAUCCUAUCCGCUUACCACUUACAGCUCCCAUAACGACAGGAAACGAGAGCAACAAAAACUUGCCUCAAUAAGUUGCCACAGCGUUACAUGCGGCCUUACCUUACCCCUUUUUUUUGCCAUGCCCGAUGCGAUGCCAGAUGCGUAGUCCAAAAACAGUGGACAAGAGGGUUGGGACCCUGAACUUAGCAUCCAGUUUGACUGGAACUGGAAGCAAGUUAAUUGAAUUAAGGCUGUCCGCGAGUCACCCGUCCCCCAAUCUACUGGCCGGACUACGCUCCUGCGUUGAUUUAUGUGAACAGAUCUGGUAGGGUGGUGGUGGCUGACUGGCUGGGGCUACAAUUGACAAUUGCUCGACUCGGGUCGACUCUGAUCGGUUGGUUGACUCAAUGGAAUGCAGUCGGUGGUUGCAGCUGCAACGAGGCAGAGAGACGGAGAGCCAAAGAGCCAUAGAGCCAGAGAAACAGAGAGGAGUUGUUGCCGACUGCCACAUGCCAUGCCACAAAUGAAAUGCCUGGCAUUUCGUCUAGCUAUCGGGAAAGUGUGGUACUGGUACCUCCAGUGGUAACCAACCAGUGUUGAGUAAGUCACUUAUUAAGUGUCAUCUCCAUGUCGCCAAAGGCGCCGCCUCGCGCCAAAAUGCAAAUGAUAAACUGACAGCCUUAUGACAGCAUUAAGCAAAUUGCUCGCCAGCCGCCCAGACGAUAAGCAGACAUCGGGGAUAUCGCCAUAGGAAUGGGCUCGCUCCGAAUGGAAGCAGAUGCAGAUGUGGCAUGGGGCAUGGGCAGUGGCAGGCGCACAAGUCGAGUUAACGAUUGGCUUAAUAAAAUGAAAUAUUAAAUGCGAUUAAAAACGCAAAGACGACGACAACGACAACAGCGAAGACGACAACGUGGAAGGCGACGAUGCAAUAAAUAUAUUGGGAACAGGCCAAACAGCUACUGGACUUGUGUGUGGACACCAGACGCCGGACGUAGUAGCACAAUUCCAGCUCCAGCUUCAGCUCCAAUUCGAGUUUGGGCUCGGGUCGGGGUUGGGGUUGCCCCUCUCCGAAAGACAUGAUAAAAAUGUGAAAUGCAUGCGUUCAUUAAAUUAAUGCGCAUGGGGCAAGGCAAGCAGCCAUGGAGCCUGAGUCUGAGCCUGAGCCUGAGCAGAUAAUUAAAUGCGUGUUUGUGGCAUGGUCAGUGGGCAAUGGGGCAAGGUGCUCGUAAUGACAUUAAAUAUGUUUAAACAUGCAUAAAUAAAAGGAGGCCGGAGACCCCGAUCC